GUGUAGGGGAAAUGCCACCGUGUUAAAGUUCUGACUGGCUGCACACGUGGUCCUAUGCCCCAAAUAGUUCCCGGACGUUCGGUGCUUUUGCCGGUCAACUUUCGGGAGCUCCUGCGACUGAAAUAUGGGAUACUCCACCUGGCUUUCAGGUAGCAUUUGUUCUACUUAGUCUCAGUCACCUUUUCUUUAAAAAAAUGGUUCAAAACCCCAGACCAAGAUGUCCGGGAACUGCAUGGUCACUUCAUGCCAAAAUCAGUUCCAUAGUGGUCGCGGCUAAGUACAGCAGAGGACUAUUCGUGGGUUUGGUUCAUGCGAACGGCCACCAGAGAGCUAACGUUAGGUUCCUUUCGCAUGAAGGGAAAGUGCAGAACAAGGGGCAGCUACCAGGGAAAGCUACCAAUGGCGGCUAGGCAGCGUAACUCCCAAACGAUGCCCCCGCCCUGGACCAUAGUUGGUGGGCAGGAGGCCUGUUUCCACACUCCUCCAGUAGUCUGUGGCAAAUGUUCGUGGGAAGAAGCGCUUAUCACAGUAAGCUUUGGGUUCAUUUGUCAAACAUUGGAGUUAAUAUAUUUAGGUUGGAGUUACAAAACAUGACGAAAAGGGCCUUGGCUGCGGGGGGCCUCCAGGUGAGGCAGUGGGGCAAAAGUCAUCAUCGGGGUGGCAACAAGUUCUGAUGAAGGAUAUGGUCAAAAUGGUUUUAAAUUAAAGGCGGUCAGGUUAGCUAACACUAACUGGCAAUAUGGUGAUUAUUAAAGUUAAAAGUUUUAAAUAAAAAGGCAGUCACGUCAUCCAAGACUGACUGGCUAGUUGGUGGUUAUCAACGUUUCAGGUUUCUGAAAGGUGUACAUUUGUUAUAUGGUUAUGGUUAUAAAAUUAUGGUUGUGAGCCCCUUAAGUAAGUUUUGAAUAAAUACCACGGCCAAGCCCAUUGAGAAGUGAUUAAAUGUUGUCUGUGUUUAUUGUGUGGUCUCAUUUGAUUUAUACAAAUAUUGCCUACCAUACAUGUAGAAGCCACAGGCACUAGGUACUUUGGCAUAUAUGUAUAAUGGCAAUGUAGGAGUGAAGUUUUACAUUUUGUGGUAGUCGGUCAGUUAGACAGGUAUCUGGGCAGAAUUGAUGGCACAGCGG